UGGAAUGGCUUUAAACGACCCGUCUUGGAACACGGACCAAGGAGUCUAACAUAUCUGCGAGUAUUUGGGUGUCAAACCCGAGUGCGCAAUGAAAGUGAACGUAGGAGCGAUGCGCAAGCUGCAGCUUCGACCGAUCUGGAUCUUUAGUGAUGGAUUUGAGUAAGAGCAUAUAUGUUGGGACCCGAAAGAUGGUGAACUAUGCCUGAAUAGGGUGAAGCCAGAGGAAACUCUGGUGGAGGCUCGCAGCGGU
rnacentral:rRNA from 1 species